rnacentral:rRNA from 1 species
UACGGGGGGAGCAAGCGUUGUUCGGAUUUACUGGGCGUAAAGGGCGCGUAGGCGGCCACUGCAAGUCGGUUGUGAAAUCUCCGGGCUUAACCCGGAAAGGUCAAUCGAUACUGCAGGGCUAGAGUGCAGAAGGGGCAACUGGAAUUCUCGGUGUAGCGGUGAAAUGCGCAGAUAUCAGGAGGAACACCGAUGGCGAAGGCAGAUCUCUGGGCCGUAACUGACGCUGAGGAGCGAAAGCAUGGGGAGCGAACAGG